AUCGAUGAGUGACUGUUGGGCCCCACUGCUGCGACUCUCCAAGUAUGACUCUUUCUCAAGCCGGUCUACCAGCAGCUCAAAGGUAUCUGCAGACACCAAACUGUGCCCAUCUACUCGCCGUUUUUCAUUCACCAUGUCCAGCCAGGCAAGGUCCUCCUCAUCCAUGUCAUACUCUACCUCUGCAUCCAGGUCUUCAGGUGGCUUCUCAAUGUAGCGGUAGUAGGCAGCAGGCAGCGGGGGUGCUUCUGGCUGGAUGCCUGAGUCCACCAUACGGAAGCUGGGCUGUGGGAGGUGGAAGGAAGUACCAGAUGCAUGCUUGGAGCAGGAUUCCUUCUUUUUGCCCUUGGAUGAGGGUUUCUUGGACUUGCCAGGGAACUGAGGCUGUUCACUGUUUUCCUUGUUACUAUUGCAUUCGGUGAUAUCCUGGGCAGUUAGCUCAUCUUCAGUAAUGAUUUUGAGUGGGUCAUAGAUGCUGAUACGAUGCAGGCGUCCAUCAAUGUCUACCUCGACAAUCCGCUGGGCCUGGGCAUAUGUCAGGGUCUCCCGGGUGGGUGAGCACUUGAGACUGUAGGGGGACGGGGAACGCCGGCCCUCGGCAUUCUGCCGGGACUUCCGACGAGGCUUCCUCAUGGCACCUGGGAACUGAGGGGACAGGCCUAAGGAGAGAAGGCCAGGAGACUAUGAGUUGGAUGCCCUUAUGCACCCAUUCAUCCUCCCAUAUGAUCAAGCAUCCACCAAGAGGACUGGCUUUUCCCUCUGUCUGAACAACUUGCCCCUCAGGCAUCCACAUGGCUUGCUCCUUCACUUCCUUUGAGUCUUUCAUUUCUUCAAGUGAACAACACUUCUCAGUGAGACCUUCUCUGACCACUUUAUCUAAAAUUGCAAAUCCUUUUCCUCCACCAGCAAUCUACCUUUCAUUCUGCUUUAUUUUUCCCUUUAACAUUCAUCAUCUUAUACCAUGCUACAUAAUUUACCUACUACUAUGUUUAUUGUUUCCUUCCUUCCACUAGAAUAUAAGCUCCAUGAGGGGAAGAAUUUUUGUUUGUCUUGUUCACUGCUGCAUCCCCAGUUCCUGGAGCAGUGCUUAGCUCCUAAGUAACCACUCAAUAAGUAUUAGUUGAAUGAAAGAAGAAAUCAAACACACAUGAUCCCUGCCCUCAAGGAGCCCUGUCUAACUCAAAAGACAGAAAAGUAAACAGAUUAUUACAGUGUAACAUGGGGAAAGAUCUAAUGUUCUAAUGAUGUACAUAAAGCUGGGCGACAGCUAACUAUGGAAAACACAUGUAGUUAACGGUUUAGAAAAGAAAACAAGAAAAGCAUCCACUGUCAAGCUCUGUACGUGAACAAUGGGCCCCAUCAGAGGAUCAAAAGUCACUAGAGUCUUCUCCCAAUACCUCUUACCACGAUCAGAAACCCUACUCCUUGACCCUGCCUAGAGGUGAAGGGGUGAAGGCAUCUGAAAUAUCUAUGAUACAUGGUCUAAGGGCUUCAAACUACAGUAUGCAGGGUAUUCCCUACAAAAGACACCAUCCAGGACAGCAGUCCCCAGCCUUUUUGGCACCAGGGACUGGUUUCGUGGAAGACAAUUUUUCCACAGAUGAGGGUGGGUGGUGAACACUGUUCCACCUCAGAUCAUCAGGCAUUAGUCAGAUUCUCAUAAGGAGCAUGCAACCUAGAUCCCUCACAUGCGCAGUUCACAGUAGGGUUCGCGCUCCUAUGAGAAUCCAAAGCAGCCGCUGAUCUGACAGGAGGCAGAGCUCAGGUGGUAAUGCUCGCUUGCCCGCCACUCACCUCUUGCUGUAUGGCCUGGUUCUUAACAGGCCACAGUCUGCGGCCUGGGGGUUGGGAACCCCUGAUCCAGGAUACACCAACUAGUACAUUUCCAGGCAGAAACAAACCCUAGAAGCUCUGAGAGUGGCUCCAAGAGAUCUCUGAAGUUAUAGUGGCCUGUCUAGGACCUUCAUUCGACCGAAGGCCAAGAUGAUCUGGGCAGUAUCUGAGGUAAACUCUCAAUGCAUUCUGUUACCUCAAAAGUCUCUCCCAGAACACUCAUAUCUAGUCUAUCCUUGUACAGCCAAGAGAAAGUCCUAGUUUCCCCCAUCAUUCUCUGGAUGACAAGCUCAUAAGGAGCUGCGGUAGGCAGUUACCAAGGCUGUCACCACCAGGAGAGACCUUUGGGGAUACAGGGCCCCAUGGUGUGGGCAGACUUGGAAGGAUAUGAACAAAGAGAAGAUUUCAAAGAGAAAAACAAUUCAUCGCCUUGGUUGCAGGGUCUACCAUCUAUAUAAAGUAGAGACGGUGAUAAUAAAAGCACUUUUUCCAAACU
rnacentral:lncRNA from 1 species